CGAUAGUUGAAGUUGUGGCGGUACCGACGCUGAGGUGGCUGCCGACCCUGGGUCUCAUCUCCUUGGUUUUCCUUAUCUUCUUCAUUGCUGUCCUCUAAUGGCAGGAUCUUUUCUUCAAAGACAGACUUUUUAUUUUAUAAACUACAACUCCAGUAGGAAUGUCUUCUUGAUCUCUCCCACUUGAACUUGAUGAUGAUUUUUAAUAUCCGUAUCUCAUUGCACUGGGGUCAUUUAUUGGCCAGUACUGCCAAUAGAUACAGAUACGGCAUUGUAAGGUGAGCCCUUAUCUUCUGAAGGCAGAUUUGUGCUGGUUGCCUGGGAUCUCUCAUCCACUCCUGUCAGCCAUUGUUUAUUUGAGACUAAGGACAGCUGGGUCCCCUGCACUCCUUGUUUUCUGUGUCUUCCUGGUGCCACUUCCUCUGAAGUUUUCCUCUGCGAUGAGAGUCUUAGCUGCUUUUGGAAGUCCUUACUCUAAUUUGCAGCAUAGGAUUUUCUUUGCUAGUUCUGCUGAAAGGAUUAUUUCCAUUUUCCUUCUUAAUGGUUUUUGCAAGUAAACAUGGAACAAGUUAAAAUCAAAUAUUCUCACACAGAUGGAUUUAAUUCUUUUUUUGUUUCCAUUUUUUAUUUAGAUAAGGUGAGCAAAUUUCAUGUAUUUCAUAUAUACAGAUUUAGUAGCAUAUUGAUAUUUCUCACUCUACCAUCUCUCUCACCCAUGCUCCUACCCUCGCUUCUUCCUUUCUUAUUUUUAAUUUUUUUCAAUUUCUUUUUUAUUAACACAAUGAGAAUCUAGUUCAUGUAUUUCAUAGAUGCUAUCCUAAGAAUAUAAUACUUCCCUCUCUCCUUCCUUCCCUCAUUGUUCUUUACCUUUUUAAUUUUUUCAAUAGCAUACUUUCAAUUUACUUUAUAAUCACCUGUUUCAAUUUCUUAAUGCUAUUAUGAAAAGACUUUAAAUUGUAUAUGUGGCUGGAAUGGAAUUUAAGUUUUGACAGAACUGAUUUUUUUAACUUUUAUUUAAUGAAUAUAAAUUUCCAAAGUACAGCUUAUGGAUUACAAUGUCCCCCCCCCCCCAUAACUUCCCUCCCACCCGCAACACUCCCCUUUCCCUCUCCCUCCCCCCUUCCAUUCACAUCAAGAUUCAUUUUCAAUUCUCUUUAUAUACAGAAGAUCAGUUUAGCAUAUAUUAAGUAGAGAUUUCAACAGUUUGCACAGCCAUUGAAAGUAGCUAUAUUUGAUGAGUAGAACUAGAGAUUAAGGAUGAGACAAAGAUUAGUGAUAUUUUUUACUUUGUGACAUGUUAACUAAGUAAUACGUAAAAUAUACCUGUUAAGUAAUUAAACAAAAGACCUAGUCACUGCUUUGGUUUUGAGUUGGUUUGAAUAGUCUAUGGUCUACUCCUCCCUCGAUCAUUUAUAUGAGUUUCCUCUUGUGUUUUAAAUGCUCAUCCUACAUUAGCCUGUCCUCUUCAGUAGGGUUUGGAAUAGUAGUUGUCAUUUAGGAUUGGCCUGAAAGAGAACUUCUGUUCCUCACUCAUCUCUACCCUAUUCCUUACACUUCCGUUUGUUCUUGUCCAAAUAGCUGACCACCGGCGAACUCAAAAGGCUUCCAUAGCCUUGGCAACUCAUGACUAGAGCCUAGGGAGAUUGCUGACGCCAUAAACUAGAG
ensembl:lncRNA